GAUGCAUUCAUUUCGGUUCAUGCUCUGUAGCUUUAGCCUUGUGGUGGCACAGGACAUCGUGACAGGACACACGGUGGAGGAGGCUGCUCAUCUCCGGGAAGCAAGGAGCAAAGAGGGGAAGAGACUGUAAUGUCCCAGUAUCCCCCUAGGCCAACCAUGCCCCAAGAGUGAUCUAACUUCCUUCCACCAGACUCUACUUCCCCGUGGCUGGACCGUUAGCAGACAUAGCUCAGUGAUGAAGACUCGGGCCAUCCUGCGGUUGAAGAGGGACAGGCCCCACUGUGCAGUUUCAGGGGUAGCAGCACUCGAACCAAUCAGUGCAGUUCUGGAGAGCUGAUCUCAUCAUCACUGAAGAAUGAAGAAUGGGGUCAUCGAGCUGGCUUAGCAGUGUUCCUCAGAGAACGGUGCCAUCAACCCUGGUUCUGUAGAGAUGAAGCCUGGGGUCCUGAGAUGCAGGGUUCCAGGAAAUGUCCCUUGUCUUCCUGGAAAGACAUCGAGUGGAUUUCCCUUAUUUAUCCCUGACGUGUGUUGCAGAAACCAUGUGAAGACAUGCAGGGUGGUUCAGGGUAAGAGUGGGUACUACUGAGGGGCUGUAGGGGGAGCCACUGAUCUAACGUCUGCUCACCCCUCAAGGGCUACCUCAUGUUCCCUCUUCCUUGCGCUCACUGUUCUGGCAAAUGUGAAGUAAAUGGCUUCUGCCACUG
rnacentral:lncRNA from 1 species